AGAAUAUCUUUUGACUGGAUUAAUGAAGAAAAUGGUCAUUAUGGAGCAAUGCAAUGUUUGUAGAGGGCGGUAAUUGGUGAUGGUUUUGUGCCAAGAAAAUCUGUCACCAUCACCCAUAGCUAUAAUAGAUAGAGAAUUUGGUGAAGAAUUGGAAGUAAUGAAUCUAACACAAUCAUAAAGAAACUAGGGAUUUCUGGACACUUACCAAAGUGGUUGAUUACUGCCUUUCAGUCAAGGUACCUAAGGAAGAAGAGAAGGUAUACGGAGGAUCAAAAUGCUGGGCUAUAGGCCAUUUGGUUACAAGAAACUGUCAUCUGUUUCAUUAUUUUAAGUGGUGGUACUCCAAGAAUCCAGAAUGCUAUAGAUUUAAGAAAGAGUAAGAGUGUGUGAUCAAUUGUUCCAGGGUUUUCAGAACUAGGAAACUCUUAAAAGAACUUUUCAAAAGUAGCUUAUUCAUUUAACAGGCUUAAACAUACUGCAAGCUCUCAGAAAACCAAAAAUUGUAAUUUACAAAAGAAGCAAUCCAGCAGAAAACUUGGCACAAACAUGCUGACCUCAAAACUACGAACCUGCAUA
rnacentral:misc_RNA from 1 species